rnacentral:rRNA from 1 species
UACGUAGGGGGCAAGCGUUGUCCGGAUUUAUUGGGCGUAAAGAGCGUGUAGGCGGCCAUUCAGGUCAGCUGUGAAAACUCGAGGCUCAACCUCGAGACGUCGGUUGAAACCGUUUGGCUAGAGUCCGGAAGAGGAGAGUGGAAUUCCCGGUGUAGCGGUGAAAUGCGCAGAUAUCGGGAGGAACACCGAUGGCGAAGGCAGAUCUCUGGGCCGUAACUGACGCUGAGGAGCGAAAGCAUGGGGAGCGAACAGG